GCCGCAAGGUUGAGACUCAAAGGGAUUGACGGGGACCCGCACAAGCGGUGGAUGAUGUGGUUUUAUUCGAUGCCACGCGAAAUACCUUACCUACCCUUGACAUGUCAAGAAUCUCGCAGAGAUGCGAGAGUGCUCGAAAGAGUACUUGAACACAGGUGCUGCAUGGCCGUCGUCAGCUCGUGUCGUGAGAUGUUGGGUUAAGUCCCGCAACGAGCGCAACCCUUGCCAUUAGUUGCUACGAAAGGGCACUCUAAUGGGACUGCCGGUGACAAACCGGAGGAAGGUGGGGAUGACGUCAAGUCCUCAUGGCCCUUAUGGGUAGGGCUUCACACGUCAUACAAUGGUACAUACAGAGGGCCGCCAACCCGCGAGGGGGAGCUAAUCCCAGAAAGUGUAUCGUAGUCCGGAUUGUAGUCUGCGAACUCGACUGCAUGAAGUUGGUAAUCGCUA
rnacentral:rRNA from 1 species